GCUGUCAAGAUAAACACAAAAUGAGUUUGAAGUUUAGUGAUAUUUGCUGAUGUGUGCAACAUGCAAAGCAAUUUCUCUUUGGCAAAGGUUGGUCUCAAAAGUCUGCAUUCAUAGAGGAAAUAAUUAAUCCAAGUCCAUGAUGAAACACAUUCUAAUAGACCUUUUUUACAGCAGACAUUUUGAGUUGUCAUCAGAGGAAAAGCACAUGUGUUACUUAUAACAUUAGCAAGGGCUCCGUUCGAUUCAAGUGUCCCAGUAAGCCAUGACAGUGAACCACCAGGACCAGGAUUUACACCUGUGCUUUUCCUACUGUGACAUGUCAAAAGCAGAUAUCACUAAGAAGUAUCUUUUUUUUUUUAAGAAAACUCAAAAGAUUAUGACUUACCACCCAGCAGUAAACCCACAAGAGAGCAGACCACCCCUUUCAUUGUAACACACAUUACAACCAAAAUGAACCAUCUUAAAGGAUGAGGGCAACCAGACACACACAAGCAUUGAUCUUGGAGACAAAUAUACAACUUUAUUUGUGCCACUCUUUAAGAUUUAACAUAAACAUUAAAACAAAGUUGAGAAAAAUACAUUACAUGUAUUCCAACAUUUGUCUGUAUCAACAUACUAGCUUGGGACCAUUUGGGACCAAAUUUGAGAAAUACAAUGUGUUCGUUUUCCCCAAAACAUAUUCGGGAAAACAGGGGUAGUAAAAACGCGAUAGGGUCACCUCUCUCGGUCACCUCAAUUUUAUUUAUAGAUAAUGGGCUGACAAAUCUGCUAACAUAUUUGAGUUACUAAAACUAAAACUGUAGCCCACCUGAACUGUGAAAGACAGAUGUCAAAAUGUCUUCCCUGAAAAAGGACUAUUGAAAAAAGUCCCAUUUCUAUGUGCAAUCAACACAUUUCAUACAGGAUGUAAUAAACAUGAAUGUUUAAUAUGGUGGAUUUUUUUAAAAAGAAAAGGAACUAAAGAGUAGGAAAUUUAUCUUGAGCAUUUCGUCAAUGAUGCUUUGCUGAUUAGAUAAAGUGGGGGAGGAACAUGGCACAGAAUGGCAUGUUUAUCAAAAUAAUACCAAAACUCAACAGAGUAUGCUGAGUAUGCCUUCUGUUAUCAAAGGGUGGUUUACACUCACCAAAUAUGCUGAACAUCUCGUCUCAUGUUGUUAUCUACAAACUGUGUUUUGACUUGCUACAUGUGAGAGGAAUGAAGGAUACACUCACUGAAAAUCACUUUAAUAGUGUUUCACUCCCUAAAAUUUAAACAAUUCUCGCACAAUAAUUUGAACCAUGAAUAAGUGUCUAUCAGUCUGUUUUGUGUUUCAGGUGUUUGUUUGGGUGUGACUUCAGAUAUGACCAUUCACCACCCUUAACAUAUGCACUGUUAUCAUGAAUGCGAUCUGCAACUGUCAAAUAGUCACUCAUUGGAUUUGUAUCCUUUCUCAUCUACAGUAUAAGUAUUGCUCUACUUUAACCCAAAUUUAAUUUUGUUAUUUGUUUUAUUUGGUAUCCAAGGUCCUUGGAUCCCCCCCAAAAUCCCACGCAGGGCUUAAUAAUAUAAAAUCACCUGGUGUUUGCAUUUAUCAUACGCCUAUGAUAAAUAUCUAUGAUCUAUUAGUUAAGUCAAACUUUUGAAUAGUCUGAACAGGAAGCUCAGCAUGAUAUUACGCAUUCUACCACAGUUAAUUUAGCAUUACUGUCAGGUGAGCACCUAAUACGUGUUUUUGUUUUCCAUCCAUUCUCAGAUAAGGUUUAAAUUUGCCUCCACAGGAUGAGACAAUUCUCCCACCUUUUAGAGAAUUCUUUAAACACGCUUUAAGCAAGAUCCUGACAAGUUAACACUUAGGUUUUCACCUGAUUCGUGGUAGGUGUCCACAUGCAAAGGGAAAAUUUUGCCAUGUGAUUAGUCAGUUGGUCACUUGGCAUCCGUGCAGGCAGCGUGACACCUUCUCCCUGAUUGGCUUUCUCUGCAUCACCAAGACAAAUAAAAGGCCAUCAACCAAGAAGCCAUUUAUCCAGAUGCUUGGUUUUCUGGUUCAGGUAAGGUUAAUUUGCAAAUAUUGUAACUAUACAUUUUAAUGAGAAUUGUUUUUUUGCCAGAACGAUUGAUAACCUGAAACAAAUCUCUAAAAAUCUUUGAAUGGUAAAUCUGCCUGUAACACCAUAGAGUGAUUUUAGUUUUGGCAGCUUGGAGGCAAACUUGUUGGAGGUCUGAAUUUGUUGAGUUUUCCUGAAUAUUUUGGGGGAAAGAAAUACAAGCUAGAAAAAACAGCAGUUAUUUUCUGAAUGAUCACAAACUUGUUAGUUGAUACAGGCAGUCAUAUUUUAAUAUAUUUUUCCAAAUAUAGAUAUUUAAUUCAUUUAUUAAUUAUAAAAGUGAGAUAUGACUAAAGAAAAUAUAUAUUUGUCUCCAAGACCAGUGUUUGUGUGUCUAUGUGUGUCUUCAUACUAUCGGAUGGACUAUUGGAUGGUUAAUUUGGCAAUGUGUUUGCAUUAUUUCAGGUUUAACAAUGAAAGGGCUGGUCUGCUGUCUUGUGGGUUUACUGCUGGGUGGUAAGUCAAUUAAAGAAGGCAACUAUCCAUGCCUAAAAUGUUUGAAAAUAAAGAACUUUCCUGGAAAAUAGUAUACAGUAGUCAUAUCACUUAAUUUGUAAUAUUCCUGUAUUUCCAUUUAAACUUCGUGAGAACAAUCUUUUAUUUUUAUUUGUCAUUAAAUAUAUUAAAUAUUUUAUGUAUUUCCAUUUUAUGCUACUACUAAGAUACUUCUAAUUCCACUACAUUUCAGAGGCAAAUAUUGUACUUUUUACUCCACUACAUUUACUUGAUAACUUUAGUGUUGAAGAAAAACUUGUACUGAAGAGGUGUCCUCAAUCGAAUAAAGGAAUAACUCAGUGAGCCCCAGUUGUCGUUACAUGAAUAUAUGGAUUUAUUACAAACAAAUCUGUCAACAGAGAAGCAUUGGGGCAGCAUGUACACAUGGGCACAGCCAACACAAUACUUAACAUGCAUAGAAAUACGUUCAACUCUUAUAGUGAAAAAGAGGGAGGUACAUACGUAUCAUAAAUCAGGAGAAAACUGCGAAACAGAAACUGAUUCAGUGUAUAACUAUCAGAACAGAAGGGGGCUGUGAGUCUACUUCAUCCACACUUUAGUCAGUGUGGAUGAUAAAUUCUAUUUGACUAAACCCAUUAGUCACUCCCAAAUUCUCCCACAUUUAGCACAGUGUGAAUGAGUGCAAGGUGGUUGAUGGCCUUAUCGGGUGUCACCCGAUGGCCUAUGCUGAGUGCUGCAUUCAACCUGUGACACCAGGUUACCUCCCACUGGCUGCAAGAGGCCCUGCCAGGAAACAUGGGUGUGCAAUGACGGCUUCCUACUCAGUGAACAUGAGUGUGUGCCUCCUGACCAGUGUGGUUGCCUGUACCAAGACAAACAUUAUAGGAAGGGACAGAGUUUUCUGUGUACAGCUACACCCUGGUCCUCCGAAGGAAUCGACUUAAAACGAUCAUGCUGAAUGACAAAUUGACAACCAUUCCACUUAACCUCAAUGAGGGACAAGUGGAAGUCUUCCAAGAGGGCUUUCAUUAUGCUAUCAUAACUGACUUUGGCCUGAAUGUGCCUUAGGAUAUGAUCUACAAAGUCAAAGUCACUGUUCCUGGAAACUACAAGGGCAAAACCUGUGGUCUGUGUGGCAAUUUUAAUGACACCAAGAAAGAUGAGUACGAGCUACCUGAUGGACAAAUGACCAACUACACCCAGACCUUUGGAGCAGCCUGGAAAGUAGCUGUGCCGGGGGUGGUCUGUGAAGAUGGCUGCAGAGGCAACCUGUGCCUCAAAUGUGACAGUGCACAAAUGGAAAUCUUUGAGAAAGAUUGUGGAAUUAUCAGAAAUCCUAAUGGUUCCUUUGCUGCCUGCCACAGCCGACUAAGUCCUGAGUCUUACUACAGAGAUUGUGUCUAUGACGUGUGCAUGUCUCAGGGAGACCGUGACAUUCUCUGCCACAGCAUCUCAGCGUACUUGACUGACUGUCAGACCAUUGGAGUAAAGAUUGACAACUGGAGGACGCCUGAUUUCUGCCCUAUUCAGUGUUCUAAUAACAGUCAUUACCAGAUCUGCUCAGAAACCUGUGCCUCUCCAUGUCCUGGUCUCACUAUCAUCACCUGCCCCAUCACUUGUGCUGAGGGCUGCAUGUGCACCUGCUUUCCAGAUUGGCGAGUCUGUGCUAUCUGACAACUGCCAGCAGCACAUCAACUGUACAACAUCUGGUGAAGUCCAGUAUGAGGACUUUUCAUGCAGUGCUACAGAGGACUGCCAGCUAAAGGAUGGUAUCUUUGGGUGCUAUCCCAAACAGUGUUGGAUGGAAACCUGAGGCUCCAUUACUCUUUUCAGUGGUAAGACCGGCACUAUCUCUGUUAUGGGGGCUUAUGACAUCAUCACACACUGUGAUGAAUCAGCUGCUGACUGGUUCAGGGUUGUGGCCAAGCUCCAAGAAUGUAAUCCAACCGGUGUUAAGAGCGUUGUCGCUGUUUACAUCUACUUUAAUGACCUGAGUGUCACUGUAACUGACAAACAGGAGACCUGGGUGGGUAUUUUUAAAGGAAAAGUUCAACAUUUUGGGAAAUACACUUAUUCGCUUUGUUGUUGAGAGUUAGAUAAGAAGAUAGAAGGUAUGUGCGGGAUUAUUUCUUAAAUGGGAGCAGAGACCUUCUGGAGUCUUAUCGUCACUGUGAGGGUGGGGAAACUCCAGGAAGUCACAGCUCCAAGCCAAUAAAUAGUCCGGCACACUUCAGUUUUUUACGGAUUAAAACAAACGAGAUAUAACGUGUUAAAAUUAGAGGUGUUGGUAGGCAGAUUUUGUUACCUUUGAACAGAGCCAGGCUAGCUGUAUCCCCCUGCUUCCAGUCUUUAUGCUAAGCUAACCGUCUCCUGGCUUGGGAGGGGGUUGGCAGAGGGUUGAUCUUCUCAUCAAACUCUCUGCAAGAAAACGAAUGAUCAUAUUUUCCAAAUUGUUGAAUAUAUACUGUACUGUAUAUGAACUAUACUAGAUAUCUGAACAUAACCUCACAUUAAACAAUAAAAUCUGCAUCUGAUGCUGUUUACAGGUCAGUGGUAAAAAGGCGAUUCUCCCCAGCAUGCCUAGAAAUAAUAUCUUUGUGAGAGUCAGUGAGAAAACCAUAGUUAUCGAGCAGAUGUCACACUUCCAGCUGUCUUACAGCAACACCCAGGAGCUCACUGUGACUGUGAGUGACAGCAUGGCAGACAAGGUGUGCGGUGCAUGUGACAAAUUCCUUCUCUUCAGAGACACCAUGGGCUUCUCGCAGGAAGUGAUGCAGGAGUACAUGGGCUCAUUUUCUGCACAAGAUUUCCCUACCUGUGACUUGUGAAAGAAAUGUUAUUUACACCCAGAGAUCAAUGCAACAGUGUCAUCAUCUGCAGAAAAUUCAACAAUAAAUCAGCAAUGAAAGCUUUAUUCAAAAUAUGGUAUUACUGUCCUUAAGCUUUUAAUGAAAUGGGUUUGUAAAAUAAUUGCAUAAUAAAUUUUAUGUUCAACAGUGAA